AUUCUUUUGUGAUUCGUAAGCAUGAUUGGGUGUUCACACUCGCGGGUGAGAUGUGCCUCCUUCCAACCUUGUUACAACGUUAGCACAUUACCUGUCUGACA
rfam:Chlorocebus sabaeus isolate 1994-021 chromosome 15, whole genome shotgun sequence.